CCUACGGGAGGCAGCAGUGGGGAAUCUUGCGCAAUGGGCGAAAGCCUGACGCAGCAACGCCGCGUGCGGGAUGAAGGCCUUCGGGUUGUAAACCGCUUUUAACAGGAACGAAAAUGACGGUACCUGUAGAAUAAGGUGCGGCCAACUACGUGCCAGCAGCCGCGGUGACACGUAGGCACCAAGCGUUGUCCGGAUUUAUUGGGCGUAAAGAGCUCGUAGGCGGUUCGAUAAGUCGGGUGUGAAAACUCUGGGCUUAACCCAGAGACGCCACUCGAUACUAUUGUGACUAGAGUUCGGUAGGGGAGCGGGGAAUUCCUAGUGUAGCGGUGAAAUGCGCAGAUAUUAGGAGGAACACCGGUGGCGAAGGCGCCGCUCUGGGCCGAAACUGACGCUGAGGAGCGAAAGCGUGGGUAGCAAACAGGAUUAGAUACCCUGGUAGUCCACGCCGUAAACGGUGGGCACUAGGUGUGGGCUCCAACCAACGGAGUCCGCGCCGUCGCUAACGCAUUAAGUGCCCCGCCUGGGGAUACGGCCGCAAGGUUAAACUCAAAUGAAUUGACGGCUGAGACGNGCGACGACGACGACGAGGGAGAGG
rnacentral:rRNA from 1 species